CCUACGGGUGGCUGCAGUGAGGAAUAUUGGUCAAUGGCCGAGAGGCUGAACCAGCCAAGUCGCGUGAGGGAAGACGGCCCUACGGGUUGUAAACCUCUUUUGUCGGGGAGCAAAGAGAGUCACGUGUGACUCAUUGAGAGUACCCGAAGAAAAAGCAUCGGCAAACUCCGUGCCAUAGGCCGCGGAAAUACGGCGGAUGCGAGGGUUAUCCGGAUUGAUUGGGUUAAAAGGGUGCGCAGGCGGAGGUGCAAGUCAGCGGUAAAAUUGCGGGGCUCAACCCCGUACUGCCGUUGAAACUGCAUCCCUUGAGUGCGCGAGAAGUAUGCGGAAUGCGCGGUGUAGCGGUGAAAUGCAUAGAUAUCACGCAGAACUCCGAUGGCGAAGGCAGCAUACCGGCGCGCAACUGACGCUCAUGCACGAAAGCGUGGGUAUCGAACAGGAUUAGAUACCCCUGUAGUC
rnacentral:rRNA from 1 species